UCGGUCUCUCGGGCGUCAAACACAAACAGUCUUCAGUCUCAGAUCAACGCCCUCGAGUCACGGCGUCCUUUAAAGAGAUGAGUCAAUGUGUGAUGUCAUCAGGUCAAUGUGUGAUGUCAUCAGGUCAAUGUGUGAUGUCAUCAGGUGGAUAUUACUGUCUGAGAGUUUGUUAAAGUGAAAUGAGACAUUCGAAGAUGCAGCAGUGUUCUUCUUUUACAUCACUGAGACUACAGAGAGACACUGAGGACGAGUAUCUACGGAGAGCCUGAAGGGACAAAAUGAGAUUAAUUGUGAUUGCUGACAGCCCGAUAUCAAACAUUAAGUUAAUAGAGGUUGUGUUGUUUUAAAACAUGUGGUCUCCAAGGACUAAAUGUUGCUGAUGAUGCUCUCGGCUACGACCAGACGUCCUGAAUCUCUGAUGACGUGAGACAGCAGGAAGUGAUCUCAAAAAGCUAAAUGUUCUUCACAGUCAAAGGUUUCGUUUGCAUUUCAACUU